UGCAGUCGACGAUGAAGACCGUGCUUGCACGGUCGGAUUAGUGGCGAACGGGUGAGUAUCACGUGAGUAACCUUCCCUUAACUCUGGGAUAAGCCCGGGAAACUGGGUCUAAUACCGGAUACGACCAGUCCUCGCAUGGGGUGCUGGUGGAAAGAUUUAUCGGUUUUGGAUGGACUCGCGGCCUAUCAGCUUGUUGGUGAGGUAAUGGCUCACCAAGGCGAUGACGGGUAGCCGGCCUGAGAGGGUGACCGGCCACACUGGGACUGAGACACGGCCCAGACUCCUACGGGAGGCAGCAGUGGGGAAUAUUGCACAAUGGGCGAAAGCCUGAUGCAGCGACGCCGCGUGCGGGAUGACGGCCUUCGGGUUGUAAACCGCUUUCAGCAGGGAAGAAGCGAAAGUGACGGUACCUGCAGAAGAAGCGCCGGCUAACUACGUGCCAGCAGCCGCGGUAAUACGUAGGGCGCGAGCGUUAUCCGGAAUUAUUGGGCGUAAAGAGCUCGUAGGCGGUUUGUCACGUCUGCUGUGAAAGCCCGGGGCUCAACCCCGGGUGUGCAGUGGGUACGGGCAGACUAGAGUGCAGUAGGGGAGACUGGGAUUCCUGGUGUAGCG
rnacentral:rRNA from 1 species